rnacentral:rRNA from 1 species
UACGGAGGGUGCGAGCGUUGUCCGGAAUCACUGGGCGUAAAGGGCGCGUAGGCGGUGACUUAAGCGUGUGGUGAAAGCCCGGGGCUCAACCCCGGGUCUGCCGUGCGAACUGGGUCACUCGAGCACUGUAGAGGCAGGUGGAAUUCCGGGUGUAGCGGUGGAAUGCGUAGAGAUCCGGAAGAACACCGGUGGCGAAGGCGGCCUGCUGGGCAGUAGCUGACGCUGAGGCGCGACAGCGUGGGGAGCAAAC